AGUUGAUAAAGAGAGGGGACUGGAGAGAGAGACAAGGAGAGAGAGUGUGGAUGGAGUGUCUGUAUGUAAGUGAUAGAAUUCUCUAACGGCCAUCUUGGAUUUUGUGAAAUCUGAAUUAAAAAACUCGAGAGACUCCAAAGUCCUAGUUAUUGAAAUUGAGGUGCAAAAUAAGGAAGAAGAAUGAAUAAUGGCAGCAGGUCGUAAAUUACAAGCUGAAAUCGAUCGUUGCUUAAAGAAAGUUGGGGAAGGAGUCGAAAAGUUUGAAGAAACUUGGCAAAAAGUUCAUAACGCUUCCAACACGAAUCAAAAGGAGAAGUACGAAGAGGAUCUGAAGAAAGAGAUCAAGAAACUCCAGAGACUGCGAGAUCAAAUAAAGACAUGGCUCGCCUCUGCGGAAAUCAAAGACAAAUCGAUACUGAUGGACAAGCGGAAACUGAUCGAACAGCAAAUGGAGCGCUUCAAGGUAGUGGAGAGGGAAACGAAGACGAAGGCCUAUUCCAAAGAAGGCCUCACCUCCGGUCUCAAACUAGAUCCCGCAGAAAAAGAACGCUACGAAAUCACUUCUUGGCUAAAGCAAUGCAUAGAAGAUCUUAACCUUCAAAUGGAUGGUUUUGAAGCGGAAAUUGAAUCUCUGGGUACAACAAAGAAGAAGAAAAAUCGCAAUGAUGAAAAAAUUGAAGAGUUCAACAUUCAUCUAGAUAAACAUAGAGAUCAUGUUCAAAAAUUAGAAACCCUUCUAAGAAUGCUCGAUAAUGAAACUGUUGAUAUGGGACAGAUUAAAGAUAUUAAGGAUGAUAUAGAAUAUUACAUAGAGAAUUGUCAAGACCCAGAUUUCACCGAAAAUGAGUGCAUGUAUGACGAUAUCGAUGGUUUAGAAGAAAUGUUACUAGAUGUUUCAAAUGUUGGUGGUCAUGAUAAUAAUACAAAUUCUAUGGAUGCAUCAGAAACCAUGUCAACUAACUCAGCAAGUUCGCCUGUUCCUCCCCAAUCAUGUAAUAGUAGUACCAACAAUCAUUCCAAUGAACACCACCAUCAUCAUAGUGAGGAUAAGAGACGACAUAAGUCUUCAAGUGAAGAAACUAAAUUCAAUUUCAACAAUCUUAACGAUAGCGGAUCCUCCAAUACAGCAUCUUCAAUCUCUAGUACUAGAGUCACUUCCAAUAAUAAACAAAUUUCCUCCUCAUCGGUAAUAAUCGGAGCUUCAGCGCCUAUUAUUUCUAAAAGCACCUCCACUCCCAUUAAAGGAAAUGGCAGCAACAACUCUUCACCCAGCAAUGGCGGGGGCAUUGGACUUCUGUCAGCGGGUCCGCCAAAUUUUGCAGCUGCUGCUGCUCAAGCGGCUGCAGUUGCCCAACAGAAUGGUCACACGACUCCGUCAAAUAUUAGUUUGUCAGAGCUCUGUGUAAGAAGUAUGAGCCCAUUGUUCAAUGCACCCGCGGUUUCGUCAUCUUCCUCAUCCGCUUUAGUCCAACCUCAGCAUAAUUCUUUCCCUCCUUCAGUGGUGGGAGUAUCAACAUCAUCUAUAACAUCAGCCAUUGUUGUCGCACCUGAGAAAAGUGAUACAACACCUAAUUUGAGUGAAGAUACAUUUUCUUCUCUCAAGUCCAUGGCGCAGACAGCAAUUGAUAGAGCUGGUUUGAAGCUACCUUUAUCUGAAUCCCAGCAACAACCUCAAGUGUCUAUUAGUGUUAGUCAACAAAGUAUCCAUAACGCGGGUGGAUCAAGCAGUAAUUCUUCGAGUAACUUAAAAGGUGAAGCUUAUAUUCCUCCAUUGUUAGGAGUAGCUCCUCUUGGACCGGUUCCACUGAAUAAAGAGACUCAAUUUCAAUACCAAAUGCUCGAGGCCGCCAACUCACAUAUGCCGCAUCCAUCAGACUCUGAACGCUUACGACCUUAUCUCCCUAGAAACCCAUGUCCUACUCCUCCACAUUACCCUCAGGUUCCACCUGGUGGGUUUGAUACAAUUGACUACUUCCAACGUUUAUCAACUGAAACGCUUUUCUUCAUCUUUUAUUAUAUGGAAGGAACAAAGGCACAGUACCUCUCUGCAAAAGCACUUAAAAAACAAUCCUGGAGGUUUCAUACAAAGUACAUGAUGUGGUUUCAACGACAUGAAGAGCCAAAAAUUAUCAACGAUGAAUAUGAACAGGGAACCUACAUUUACUUUGAUUUUGAGAAAUGGGGGCAACGAAAGAAAGAAGGAUUUACAUUCGAGUAUCGAUUUCUUGAAGAUAAAGACUUGAACUGAAUUUUUCAUCCUUCAACUGUCCUUUUUUACCUUCGUGAUAUCUGUAUAUAAAAUAAAAGGAACAUUUAUUAUCUCACGAAUCCUUUUUUUCUUUUUCUUGGCACUGGUCACCGUUCUCUAGCAUCUAAAAUAUUUUAAAACAUGUACUAGUCGUUUUCGUGCGGCUCAAAAUUAAAUAAGAGGGAUUGUAUCUGUGCUUUAAUUGUUAUUCAAAGAGUUGAAAAAUAGUGACUUUAUAGGAAGAGUCAAGUGGAGCCUGGAGAACAUAGAUAAAUAUUCAUCAAAAUCAUAAAUAAUUUCGGUUGCUUCGAAUCGUCAUCAUCAAUGGAUAAUUUUUUGGAUAAACAUUUCUUAAGCGUUAAAAUGGAUCUCAAAGAUAUUAGUGCAAAUCAAAUUUAGCAUUUCUUGAAGGAAGAAAUUCUAUUUUUUUUGUAACUUAUUAUUUUGUAAGGUGGGUGUGGGGAGUUGGAUUCCUUGUCCGAAAAUUUCCUACAGACCCCCCUCUCUCCCUCUGUGAGUUGAAUUUGUUGAUAUAGAAAGCCAGCAAAAUCAGUAUUAAUCUUUUGUUUUUCUCUUUUGUUUUCAAUUAUUUUAACUUUUUUGAAUCCAAGUCUGAAUAAAUAUUAUUAAAGUUUAUAUAUUUAUGUAAAACACAACAAAGUAUGUAAUGUGAUUCAUUCAGAUAUCUAUCUACCUUUAUCCCAUUUUUUUGAGUUUUGUGAAAAAUUAACCAAAUCGGGCCCUUUUUAAAGUUUGUCGGAGUUGACUUAAAUUGAGUUUAAAUUCAAGUUAAAAAAAUACUUUCAAAAAUUAAACCAUAAUUUUUUUCCCCUUUAUUACUGUACGUCAUCUGACAAUUGAUACAAAUAAUUAAUUAAUGUAGUGUUAUGUAUAGCUAUCAUAAGUCUACAAAUGCAUUUAAAUUUUCGUUAAAUUCAAUAUAGUAAUUGAUAUUACUUAUGGUUUUUAUUGUGUUUUUUUUUCAAGAUUUCAUUUGAUCAAAUUCGUUACACAAGUUUAUGGACCCACCUUGUUUAAAACCUUUCCACCCAACUCCUAAUUUUCAUUUCUGUUUUUCUCCUCUAUUCACUGAUUCAAUUCUAUUCAAAGUCACGCACUUAUCAAUUCUGUGAAAGAAAAUAUAAUGAUGAAAAUGA
rnacentral:misc_RNA from 1 species